AUGAGUUGUUUUUGCAGAAAUAUGUCUACCAUCGGACUGAAGGGUGGAUUAGCCAUAUCAUUCAUGAACAUGUUAUCACUGGAAAACUUGGAUUUAUCAUACAACAAUUUGACGGGUACUAUUCCUGACUACCAAUUAAAUUCACUCAAAGUCCUCAACUUGUCAAAUAACCAGCUCAAUGGACCAAUCCCUGAUACAAUUCUUGAAAGAUUUCAACGCGGCCUACUUGACUUGAGGUUUGGCAUGCUUGGUUGCACAAUCACUUUUUCUAACAGGAGGAUUGUGCUCAGCCCACGGUUGGUUAUGAUAGAAAAACAUCAAAGUUUAGAAAACAUUCUUUGGAUAUAG
rnacentral:rRNA from 1 species